CUAGUAUAUAACCACAAUGGAAAACAAUGAAGCAUCUUCCAAGGUAGGGAGACAGCACAGCCAGCCAAGAGUUGUACAGCAAGAAGGAGGGAAGUAGGUAGGGCAAGGUAAGAAGGUUAAGUCUUAUACUUAUACCCUUGAGUUGUUUCCUGCUCACAAAAGCUCUAACGUAUGUUGCCCAAAUAACUAUGCCACAAGCCUGUAGCGAGCCAGCUGCCAACUUUUUGUUGGACUGUCAUAAGGAAAUUGUCAAGGCCUGAAGUUUGGUGAUUCCUACAGAAAACCUCCUUCAGAAAAAAGUAGUAUACAUUAUACAAGCAUGCAACCAAUAGGAAAAGCAGGAUUAAGCAUGUAUGGAACUUCCAAAAAAUUUCUUUGAUGUAACAGCCAGGAACACUUGGGUUUAACAUUGAUUUUAAAAACUAAAAGAUCAAAUUCCUCCUCGCGUCAGGCAGAAUCCCUGAUCUAGGAAAACAUGCUCUCAUUUCCUGUAAGUGGCUCUCUAAGAUUUCCAGCUCGAAGGGCAAAAGGCCAGCUGGAGGAAAUGACAUCACUCUUAUGGUGCCUGCCUGAGGCCUUGAUAAUGCAGUCUUCUCCAUGAGAUUCCUCAGACCUUUCUCUCUUUUAUAGUAGUGCCCUUCUCACUGAGUAUAAGGCCUCAUGCAGGCACCAUAAGAGUGAUGUUCUGCGUGAUACUAGUUCUGCAAAAUCGAUGGUUGUGCCCUCUUCUGCCCAGAAUCAGGAAGAAUUCAUUUAGUUCUAGGAGACUAGGAAGAUCACAUAACAAUUACUACCCUCCCAAGAACUGUGGUUUCUUUAUACUUUCAAACCCUGGCUUAUCCACUCUGGCAUCUAGGUAUGUCAGCUAUAGCACACAACUACAUAGAUCCACAGCUUUCUUUCAAGACCCCUUUUUUUCGUGAUACGGCAUAAGUGCAUGCAACAGAGCAGCUUUAGAUGGCUCACGUAAGCAGGAGGAGCAAAAGCCAGAGUGACUGGUGUUUCCUCUGCUUCUGUUUCCACACAACCUCGCAUAGCAGGAAUUAGCACACCUUACCCACAGUGAACAAAGUGAGGCUCCAGCUGCAUAAACAGCACAUGUCUCUCAGCUAUAGUGGCACAGGGAUGUACGGAUUCCUAUUUCAGAGUCAUCCCCUCACCCCACAAGUGUGUUCAAAGCUAUCCUCAUUCAAUCACCUGUUCAAAGCUAUCCUCAUUCAAUCACCAAGCACUUUGCAUCAUUGUAUUGACUAAUGUCCCAAAUGAGUCAGGUAUAAGAUGUAUACUGCCAGGCAGCCCUGGAACAUUAUAGAGAAGUACGAUGCUCUAAAUCAGAGUUGGACAUCCCUGCUCUAAAUAAAGGUUGCACAGUUUCACUCUAUCUAAAAGUUCCUAAUCUAAGGAAAUCCUUGAACAUGGGCAAUCCAGAAAUAACUUUAGGCAUAAUGCAGGCAGAUGCACAUAACACUUACUUGUCUCCCCAUGAUUUUAUGAGUCACCCCAGGUCCUGCAUCUUGUUUGGAGGAUGUGGGCUAGUGGAGGCCAUGCCACAUGAGAGCACUGUGGCAGAAAUCAUUUGUGGACGGUGCUUCCGCUGUGCAUCGCAUCAAAGGCCACUCCUAUGUUUUGACCUUCCCAAUGCUCAAAUGCCUCCUGCCCAGCAAGUGUCUUCCUGUGAAAUCAAUCAGCAGGGCAGGGCUACUUAGAAAACUCGAAAGGCCCAACAAAAGCACUCACAAAAAUACAACAGAGUGCAAACAGAAGAAACCCUUCUGCUAGCUAUUGUUAGAUCUUCCUUUGAGGCCACUGUUGCAUCAAUCACAAAUCUCAUCAAUAAAUCAGCAGGUACUGAACGGAAAAGGCUACUUUUGGAUAAAAAACAAGGAACCCAAAUCAGGUAUUUUAAUGUCUCUGCACUGAUUGCAUUUGUGUCCCAUGGACACAUGGAUGCUUAUGUAAAGAAUCCCCCCCCCCCCCCCCGUGCAGUAGGAGUUUGUGGCCUGACUUCUUAGUGGCUCUUUGGAAUAAAGGAAAAAAGUUUGUAAUAAUUCCGUUACAGUGUACAGGUGUGUGUAAUAUAUUCAUGACAAUAAACACUUGCUCCCAUA